rnacentral:lncRNA from 1 species
UUUUGCAAGUUGUACAAGCAUGGCACCAGCAUCCGCUCAGCUUCUGGUGAGGCCCAGGAAGGUUUUACUCACGGUGGAUGGUAAGAGGGAGCAGAGGGAUACGUGGUGGCAGCGAGGUCCUGAGCUGUCCCUAGUUAGCAUCUCCUGCCACAAAUCAGAAACAUGUGACUCAGUCUGGAAUGAGGCUGAUCAAAGCCUUCAUGGAACUAUUCACCCCAGCUAUGGAUGCAAGCACAGGAGUUACAUUCGUGUAUUUGAGAAGAUUAGAAAAAUAGAGAAAAGCAUAGAAAAGAAAGGAAGACUCAUCUUGUCUCCCAUCACCCUGAGUUACAGUGAGGACUUGGUGGGCUGCCUUCUGUACUCUUACCCCUCGUGCCCUCCAGAUCCAUGCCCUGUGCUGCUCUGUGCCUGCAGCCUCAUCAACAGGCCCUGUGUCCUCUUAUAUGGCUGGGUUUGGCCACUUGGAAGGCCUGGCAGAAGGAAGGAGAGGAAAGUCAGUGAAAUUGUUCCCCUGGCACCCUCCCUGCAAGGUCACCUUGCUGCAGAUCACUACUGCUCUCAAGACUCAGGAGCCUAA